AGAGUUUGAUCCUGGCUCAGGAUGAACGCUAGCGACAGGCUUAACACAUGCAAGUCGAGGGGCAGCGGGGUAGUGCUUGCACUACUGCCGGCGACCGGCGCACGGGUGAGUAACACGUAUGGAACCUGCCCGCAGCAGGGGGAUAAGCGGAAGAAGUUCCGUCUAAUACCGCGUAACAACGUUGGGAGGCAUCUCCCGAUGUUUAAAGAUUUAUCGGCUGCGGAUGGCCAUGCGGCGCAUUAGCUAGUCGGCGGGGUAACGGCCCACCGAGGCGACGAUGCGUAGGGGUUCUGAGAGGAAGGUCCCCCACACUGGUACUGAGACACGGACCAGACUCCUACGGGAGGCAGCAGUGAGGAAUAUUGGUCAAUGGCCGAGAGGCUGAACCAGCCAAGUCGCGUGAGGGAUGACGGCCCUACGGGUUGUAAACCUCUUUUGUCGGGGAGCAAAGGGAGUCACGUGUGACUCAUUGAGAGUACCCGAAGAAAAAGCGUCGGCUAACUCCGUGCCAGCAGCCGCGGUAAUACGGAGGAUGCGAGCGUUAUCCGGAUUUAUUGGGUUUAAAGGGUGCGCAGGCGGAGGUGCAAGUCAGCGGUCAAAUUGCGGGGCUCAACCCCGUACUGCCGUUGAAACUGCAUCCCUUGAGUGCGCGAGAAGUAUGCGGAAUGCGUGGUGUAGCGGUGAAAUGCAUAGAUAUCACGCAGAACUCCGAUUGCGAAGGCAGCAUACCGGCGCGCAACUGACGCUCAUGCACGAAAGCGUGGGGUAUCGAACAGGAUUAGAUACCCUGGUAGUCCACGCAGUAAACGAUGAACACUAACUGUUCGGCCAGAAUGAUGGCUGAGUGGUACAGCGAAAGCGUUAAGUGUUCCACCUGGGGAGUACGCCGGCAACGGUGAAACUCAAAGGAAUUGACGGGGGCCCGCACAAGCGGAGGAACAUGUGGUUUAAUUCGAUGAUACGCGAGGAACCUUACCCGGGCUCAAACGACACAGGAAUACUUUUGAAAGGAGGUAGCCCUACGGGGUCUGUGUCGAGGUGCUGCAUGGUUGUCGUCAGCUCGUGCCGUGAGGUGUCGGCUUAAGUGCCAUAACGAGCGCAAUCCCUAUCGCCAGUUGCCAUCAAGUAAAGUUGGGGACUCUGGCGAGACUGCCGGCGCAAGCUGUGAGGAAGGCGGGGAUGACGUCAAAUCAGCACGGCCCUUACGUCCGGGGCGACACACGUGUUACAAUGGCAGGUACAGAGAGAAGCCAGGUGGCGACACCGAGCGGAACUCGAAAGCCUGUCUCAGUUCGGAUCGGAGUCUGCAACCCGACUCCGUGAAGCUGGAUUCGCUAGUAAUCGCGCAUCAGCCAUGGCGCGGUGAAUACGUUCCCGGGCCUUGUACACACCGCCCGUCA
rnacentral:rRNA from 1 species